CGCAUCUGUGCAUGCAGCAUAUCAAUAAGCGGAGGAAAAGAAACUAACAAGGAUUCCCCUAGUAACGGCGAGUGAAGCGGGAAGAGCUCAAAUUUGAAAUCUUAAAGGGUUUCCCUUUACGAAUUGUAGUUUAAAGAAGUGUUUUCUGUUGAGGUUUUGGUAAAAGUUCUUUGGAAUAGGACAUCAUAGAGGGUGAGAAUCCCGUAUUUGACCUUUACUUUCAACUUUGUGAUACACUUUCAAAGAGUCGGAUUGUUUGGGAAUGCAGUCCAAGAUGGGUGGUAAAUUUCAUCUAAAGCUAAAUAUUGGCGAGAGACCGAUAGCGAACAAGUACCGUGAGGGAAAGAUGAAAAGAACUUUGAAAAGAGAGUUAAACAGUACGUGAAAUUGUCAAAAGGGAAGCGUUUGACACCAGUGUUGUUUUUCUGAAAAUCAAUUAAAGAACUGUUUAUGCUAAGCUGUUUAGACUUUAUCAGCUAUCUGUUUAGUUUUAGGCUUUUCUUUAAUGCACUUUUCAGUUAACAAGUCAACAUCAAUUUCUUUUGCUGUAAAAAGCUUGAGGAAGGUGGCUUGAGAUUCGUCUUAAGUGUUUAUAGCCUCUUGCCUAUGCAGUCGGAGAGAUUGAGGUCUGCAGCGUAGAUCCUUCGGGGCUAAAUGCAUUUGUGCUAAGUUAUAGCAUUUUAUAGACAACUUGUUGACUAUGAUUUGUCUUGUAGCUUACUCGCUUAUGUUAUUUUACCUACGCUUAGGAUGUUGAACGCGCACAGAGUCUCU
rnacentral:rRNA from 1 species